AGCGAACGCUGGCGGCAGGCCUAACACAUGCAAGUCGAACGAACUCUUCGGAGUUAGUGGCGGACGGGUGAGUAACACGCGGGAACGUGCCUUUUGGUUCGGAAUAACUCAGGGAAACUUGUGCUAAUACCGAAUGUGCCCUUCGGGGGAAAGAUUUAUCGCCAUUAGAGCGGCCCGCGUCUGAUUAGCUAGUUGGUGAGGUAACGGCUCACCAAGGCGACGAUCAGUAGCUGGUCUGAGAGGAUGACCAGCCACACUGGGACUGAGACACGGCCCAGACUCCUACGGGAGGCAGCAGUGGGGAAUCUUGCGCAAUGGGCGAAAGCCUGACGCAGCCAUGCCGCGUGAAUGAUGAAGGUCUUAGGAUUGUAAAAUUCUUUCACCGGGGACGAUAAUGACGGUACCCGGAGAAGAAGCCCCGGCUAACUUCGUG
rnacentral:rRNA from 1 species